GACGAACGCUGGCGGCGCGCCUAACACAUGCAAGUCGAACGGAGUCAAGAGGAGCUUGCUUUUCUUGACUUAGUGGCGAACGGGUGAGUAACGCGUGAGUAACCUGCCCUGGAGUGGGGGACAACAGUUGGAAACGACUGCUAAUACCGCAUAAGCCCACGGAUCUGCAUGGAUCUGCGGGAAAAGGAUUUAUUCGCUCUAGGAUGGACUCGCGUCCAAUUAGCUAGUUGGUGAGGUAACGGCCCACCAAGGCGACGAUUGGUAGCCGGACUGAGAGGUUGAACGGCCACAUUGGGACUGAGACACGGCCCAGACUCCUACGGGAGGCAGCAGUGGGGGAUAUUGCACGAUGGGGGAAACCCUGAUGCAGCGACGCCGCGUGGAGGAAGAAGGUUUUCGGAUUGUAAACUCCUGUCGUUAGGGACGAUAAUGACGGUACCUAACAAGAAAGCACCAGCUAACUACGUG
rnacentral:rRNA from 1 species